GCUCUUACCAUUGCUAAGAAUUCUGGAGCUUUGCUCUCUAUGAAAAUUGCAUCAUGACAUUUUGAAGAAUUGACCUACAGAGUGCUGCUGAAGCCGGCAUAACCAUCCAGGCUGAAAUUUUCAGCGGCUGCCUUGUGAGGAGAACAGAGGACAGGGCUCCGGAUACCUGAUUUCCUGAAGAUGCGACAAAAGACAGAGGACUGAAGCUGCGAGGUAGUGAUACGCCUGUGGUUAUCCAGUUGGAAUGAAAGGAUUUGAACCCCAGAACUUGUAGCUUAAGUUCACCAUUUACUUCACCUGACCAAACUGUUAUGGUCACAGUGAAUUAACAAUUAUUUUGGUCUGGGUUUAGAGUCCAGUCCUAAUUACACAGAAUCAGAGUCUCUGCUGGCAUAAAACCAUGACAAUCUAUUCAAAUGAAGACGCUGCUGCCAACUGUAGCAAAAGAGGACUUGGUUUGCAUUUGCUGUUAAGGUCCUAGAAGUGAACUGGUAGAAGAAGCAAAUGAGCAUCCUGUUAAAAAUAACUAAACAGAGUAGAAAAGAAUGAAAGGAGCUUGUAUGUUCUUUCACCGUGUGAAAAGCCCAUUGUGCCGUCUUUUCUUAAAAAAACCCCAUCGAAACAUG